rnacentral:rRNA from 1 species
CGUUAGCGGCGGACGGGUGAGUAACACGUGGGUAACCUACCUAUAAGACUGGGAUAACUUCGGGAAACCGGAGCUAAUACCGGAUAAUAUUUCGAACCACAUGGUUCGAUAGUGAAAGAUGGUUUUGCUAUCACUUAUAGAUGGACCCGCGCCGUAUUAGNUAGUUGGUAAGGUAACGGCUUACCAAGGCGACGAUACGUAGCCGACCUGAGAGGGUGAUCGGCAACACUGGAACUGAGACACGGUCCAGACUCCUACGGGAGGCAGCAGCA